CUAAGCACUAUGCAGCUCCAUCAGGCUGUGGGGAUAGAGUGUGAUCAGGCUGUGGGGAUAGAGUGUGUGUGUGUGAGUGUGUGUGUGUGUGUGUGUGUGUGUGUGGAAAUAGAGUGUGAUUAGAUGGGAGAGAUAGCCACUCUGCCACUCUGCCAGUCACCAUCUUGUUUAAUGUUAAACGGAUUUGUCCUUAUACACUACACACACAAUACACUACACACACGAUACACUACACACGAUACACUACACACACGAUACACUACACACACGAUACACUACACACACAAUACACUACACACACGAUACACUACACACGAUACACUACACACACGAUACACUACACACACGAUACACUACACACACAAUACACUACACACACGAUACACUACACACACGAUACACUACACACACAAUACACUACACACAAUACACACACACUACACUACACUACACUACACACACAAUACACACACACACUACACACACGAUACACUACACACUACACUACACUACACUACACACACAAUACACACACACUACACUUCACUACACUACACACACAAUACACUACACACACGAUACACUACACACACGAUACACUACACACAUGAUACACUACACACACAAUACACUACACACAAUACACACACACUACACUUCACUACACUACACACACAAUACACUACACACACAAUACACUACACACACGAUACACUACACACACGAUACACUACACACACAAUACACUACACACACGAUACACUACACACACGAUACACUACACACACAAUACACUACACUACACACACAAUACACUACACACACAAUACACUACACACACGAUACACUACACACACGAUACACUACACACACAAUACACUACACACAAUACACACACACUACACUACACUACACUACACACACAAUACACACACACACUACACACACGAUACACUACACACACGAUACACUACACACACAAUACACUACACACACGAUACACUACACACACGAUACACUACACACACGAUACACUACACACACGAUACACUACACACACGAUACACUACACACACAAUACACUACACACAAUACACACACACUACACUACACUACACUACACACACAAUACACUACACACACGAUACACUACACACACGAUACACUAAACACACAAUACACUACACACACAAUACACUACACUACACACAAUACACUACACACACAAUACACUACACACACAAUACACUACACACACAAUACAUUACACACACAAUACUCUACACACACAAUACACUACACACACAAUACACUACACACACAAUACAUUACACACACAAUACACUACACACACAAUACACUGCACACACAAUACACUACACAACACACACACUACACUACACUACACACACACUACACUACACUACACACACGAUACACUACACACACACAAUACACUACACACACGCCCAUAUAUGUAGUCUAAUCUGGUCCAUGAUCCCUAUAUGUA
rnacentral:lncRNA from 1 species